rnacentral:rRNA from 1 species
UACGUAGGGUGCGAGCGUUGCCCGGAUUUAUUGGGCGUAAAGGGCGCGUAGGCGGCCACGCACGUCCGUUGUGAAAUCGCCCGGCUUAACUGGGCGGGGUCAGCGGAUACGGUGUGGCUCGAGCAAGCUAGGGGGCAAUGGAAUUCCCGGUGUAGUGGUGGAAUGCGUAGAUAUCGGGGAGGAACACCAGGUGGCGAAGGCGGCUCACUGCCCGAUACUGACGCUGAGGCACGAAAGCGUGGGGAGCGAACAGG